rnacentral:misc_RNA from 1 species
GGCAUCAGCUUACUCUAUUGGGCAUUGGCCUUUUUUGUUGAUUAUCGUUACAUACGGAACAGUAGUAUUAGCAUCACAGGAAAAGGAAAGAAAACGAAAGGAAGUGCCCAACUAAUCCAUUUUCGCUCUCUUUACUUCCCAAAUGAAUGAAACCUGAGUUUGAGUCGAGGAUUAAAUGGUUCCACUAGUUUUUGUUCCCUUGGAAGAAAAAAAAAAUCUGCAACAUUUGCAUAUAUACGUACAACAACUGUAGAGCAUCAAUGACGCUCCCAUGCCGCUAACAGAAGGAUUACUGAUAUCCCCCAUAGCAUAUAUCUAACUAUUUUGCAGAGGCACAGGAAAGAACCCACCCAACUAAGGGUGAUCUUCGUAGAUGAUCCGUCAACUGCCAAUUCUGCAACAUUGACACACGAUUCAAAGUCAAGUCAAAAUAAAACAUGUUUUUAUGACAAAUACGGUCGUGUUUAUUACUUCUCAGGGAUUAGAAUCAUUAGAUAUACAAGCUUGCCAAUUCUGUGUUUGAACAACAAGAAAUGAAUAUUUGAAGCAGUUAAAUAAAAGGAGAAUUUCCUCCUAAUUAUGAUUAUCAACCGUUAGAUAUCACUGUUGGGUCAUUAUGAGGUUUACUUUUUGUAUAUUUCCAGAUUGCUUUAGUAUUUGUUACCUUGUUCACGGGCAACGUGGGUGUUCUCCAACAAAAAGCAACUGUGUUCUCCCUCAGCUCAUCCUCACUUCUGGAGUUGGUGUAAUUGUUGCUGCUGAAGACAUAAGAAUCAUCGGUGCUGUUGUAUGUUUGAAGGGAUUCCUUCUCAGGAAUAGAAAGUGCAAGCUUGUUUGCUUUCUCGUUAUCCAUCCAAAUUACUUGAGAAUUGUCAGAUGAAUGUAACCUCUUUUGGAGCCUCCGAGCUCUAGGAAAACAGUUUGGCUGGCCUUCAGUCUCUUGACUAGAGAAAACCCCAUAUUCAAGGCUGCUUCUCACUUCCUUGGAAGAAUCAAUUCCAUGUGCAGGGGUUUUUAACGCAUCAUCUUGUAAUGAUCUGUUGGAUGAGGCUUUCCCUAUGCUCAAUAGAUUCCCCUCACUAUUUCUCAAAGCCCUUACCACUUCUACUCUGGGAUAGUUAUGUGGCAUUUGAGAUCUACAAUCAGAAGAACAAGUUAAAAUAGCUUUGUCACUUAUAAUAGGCUUUUCAGAGACAUGAUCAGAAUAGUCAGAAUCACUUCUGCAUCCCACUGGUAAUUGUGAUUUCUGCUGCAUUCUGCGGGAACAACUAAACAAACUGAAAGACAGCUUCCUUAGUUUAGGACACUUUGAUACAGGAGCACAAAGUACCAGAUUAAUUCGAAUUUCUACAUUUCGACCCAAAAUUAACUGCAGAGAACUUGCUAUCGUCUUCCACGACUUCUCAGCCUUGGAUACAUAGUCAGGAUGUUGGAAUUCCAAUUCAGCUACAGCCAAAUCUUGAUUAACGGAAAGAGAAGACAGUUUCCCUUGUUUCCUUAAAAAACUCUUAAGUGAAUUUGAUUGGCACAAUUCUAUAGCUUUCUUCCAUAUGGACUCCAAUGUUGCUUUACAAUCCCCUUGCAUCCCCAAUUUAUUUAACUUGCUGUCUUCACACAAGCAUGGGAAAAGAAGCUUCAAGCUCUCCCCUGUGGAUGAUGUACUGCAAAAAUCAUCAUCUCUGUCACGUGCAUUCCUUAAAGAAGACUUUGGAUCAUUUGCAUCCAGGGAAGGAGAUUCUAGAGAGCUCAACUGUAAAAGAGCUACAGUAAGCCAUGUGCUUUGAUUUUUGGACAUCCUCAAUUGUUUCUCAGUUUCAGAAAGUAUUUUCAAUGCAUGACUCAACCUCUGCAUGUCCAUCUCAGAAGCAUGCCUCCUUGAAAAUUUUCUUCUAACUUCAGAAGUGUCUUCUUGGCAUUUGCCAGCAAGUAUAUCCAUGAUGAGAUUUGCCAGUUGUGUCACAAGUUGCAUAGGGUCAAUCCUGGAUCUCAUCAAGUCCCUGGCCCUUAUAACUGUAUUUGAAGUGUCAGACGACAGUGCCAGAUCCAGCAAAUCGAGCAAUUCAUCAUCAGAAACAACUCCAAUAAGCUCAUAGGCCAAGGACAUGGUGAUUCUUUUACCAAGCAAACUCAGUUGAUCCAGCAUCAUUUCUGCAUCCCUGAGUGAACCAUUUGAUUUAGCAGCAAUGAAGUCUAAAGCAACCUGAUCAAACUGAAUACCCUCUUCAACGCAAAUAUUCCCCAAUCUGGUUGAUAUAUCAGCAUUUUUUAUCUUUGGAAAAUGAUAUCUUUGAGACCGAGUUACUGCACUUCUUGGCAGCUUUUCCAGAUCGGGCGUGAUAAUAACAAAGACAACAUGUUGAGAAAGGUUCUCUAGGCUGUUUAGAACAGUUGCCCAGGUCUCUCCAUGCAACAAGUGACAUUCAUCAACUAUGAAAACUUUGAACCGUGAUGAAACUGGAGGAAUUGAUGCAUUCUUAAUUAGGGAUCUAAUCCUUUCCGCUCGAUUAAUUCUCACUGAAUCCACUUCUUUCACAUCCCUGCUCCUUCCAGAAAAGAGUAGAACACAUUCUCGGCAUAGACCACAUGGUUUAUACUCCUCAAGUGAGAGACAAUUUAAUGCAGCGGCAAAGAUUUUUGAGGCAGAGGUCUUGCCCGUGCCACGGGGACCAUGGAAAAGAUACAAGGAGGUUAUCCUUCCUUUUGAAAUAGCACUCAAAAGAGACUUAGCUACUACAUUUUGUCCCACCAGUUCAUCAAAAGAUUUUGGCCUAAACUUAUGGCUGAAACUCCUAGGAGUUUCAUUAGCAAUGAGCUUCCAGCUCCGAUGUUCAUAUGAUGUUGUCUCAGCCACAUCCUUGAAAAGCAAGGGACGACCUUCAGCAUCAGAAUAUGGAUUUGAUUCUCGGAAUCUGGGGGUUCUUGUCCAGCAGCAUCUUAUCCCACACCCAGAGUCAUUUUGAAUCAUGAAAUCAGCCUCUUCAUUUGCAAGGAAUGAUAUGCUGUGGCUUGAUAAAGCAUCACUUGCAGAUAGGCAUGGACUACUUAGUCGACUCAAAACAUCACCCACCAUCCCAGAUGAUUUAACUUGAUUUUUGUAUUGGGAUUUCUUUCUUGACAUAGACUGGUCCAUACAUUCUACUUUUGGUGAUCCUAAAAUCAGUUCAUUAGCUGAAUCUGCAUCCUCCAAACGGUUGCUCAUAGGUGUGACGCAUGUUAGUUCCAAUCCAUUGUCCCUUUGAUUGCUACAAUAUCUUUCACUUAAUGACUUGUUUCCAUGAAUAUUUUCCCGAUUUAAUGCACAAUUAUCCAAUCCUUCAAGCUUCUUUGUCCUAAUAGGAGCUCCCACCUUUUCUACUCUACCUGAAUUCUCACACGAGAUCAACUCAGGCUUGGAUUUUCCCAAAUGACAUUGCAAUUCAAAAUCAUCAACUUCUUCAUCCUCCUUUCCUUUAUGACCUGAAUUUUUCAAUCUUGUAAGACCGUCAUGAUCAGAACCACCUUGUUGACAACCACCCAUGAAUCGCAAAGAAAUCUCAUUGGUGGAAUUGGUUUCCCAGUUUGCAUUUUCAAGUAAAGCAGAGAAUUUGCUCAUAGAAUUAGUUGAUGGAUCCCUCAGAGACCUCACCCUCCUGAGUGCUAUAAGAGUCCUUGAGAUGGGAAUGUCAACUGAAUGUCUCCGCCCGUCCAUCAUUUUCAAAAGUCAAGCAUAAAGAAUCAAAGGAGUUCCUUUCCGCUCUGUAGAAUAAAAUUUCAGAAUGCACCACUAAAGAAAAGCUGCGUCCCCAGCCUGCAAAUAGAGAUGUCCAUAUUCCAACUUCGAGGUUAACGAAAUUUGAAAAAUAAAUAGCGUAAAAAACGGGACACCAAAAAAAAAUCUCAAACCCUAAAGCCCAGGUCUCGAUGGCUGAGCUGUGAAUGUAGUUUAACUGCAGAGAAAUAGUAGCAAGAGAAGGUACAUUA